AGCGAACGCUGGCGGCAGGCCUAACACAUGCAAGUCGAGCGGCCGUAGCAAUACGGCAGCGGCAGACGGGAGAGUAACACGGGGGAACGCGCCCUUCGGUUCGGGAUAACUCAGGGAAACUUGGGCUAAUACCGGAUACGCCCUUACGGGGAAAGAUUUAUUGCCGAAGGAACGGCCCGCGUCCGAUUAGCUUGUUGGUGAGGUAACGGCUCACCAAGGCGACGAUCGGUAGCUGGUCUGAGAGGAUGACCAGCCUCACUGGGACUGAGACACGGCCCAGACUCCUACGGGAGGCAGCAGUGGGGAAUAUUGGACAAUGGGCGCAAGCCUGAUCCAGCCAUGCCGCGUGGGUGAUGAAGGCCCUAGGGUUGUAAAGCCCUUUCAGCGGGGAAGAUAAUGACGGUACCCGCAGAAGAAGCCCCGGCUAACUUCGUGCCAGCAGCCGCAGUAAAAC
rnacentral:rRNA from 1 species